AAAAGUCACUAGUACAGAACACGGAUGAAGUAUGAGGAUGGCCAGAUCAUCGUUACAGUACAAGUGUGGUUUAGGAGGGCAGGCUCAAGGACUGCAAGCACAGCUUUGUUGGUUUCCACACAGACACUUCUCUGGAGACAAGGACUGAUCUUUAAGGGAUUCAGGAGACAGCCAUUGUUGGGGACCAGCAAGGGCUGUCCCAGCUGUGUACACCAACGUGAAACUUUCAUGAAUGUUCCAGGGGAGAUUGUACAUGGAGGUGGACAGUACAGGUAGAGACCAGAGAAGGAGUGAGUUGGGGAGGAGAGGGAGAUAGACCAGGAACAAAAUAGACUAAAAGAAUUGACCAUGGGUUUCUCCAGCCCUGGACCUGUUAGAAUGAAAUUAGGUGUAAUAUUGGCUGUUGCCAGAGAACUAGAAAUUAGCUAUUGCUCAUCAAACAAACAGAAGCCAGAAGAGAGACUGAACAUGAAGAUUUGAGACAAGACUCUCAAGGAACAGUUUCUUUUUGCAUUCCAGUUCAUAUUGAAGAGAAGAACCUCAAAGAAAAAAAGAACUAAUGGGUAGUGUACAGUGCAAUAAGACCAAAACAAAAAAAUGACAAUUAUAUGGAGAGAUUCAAUCAGCAUGAUUUGGUAAAGUGAAGAAUUUUCUUAUGUCAUUAAAGUGGAGUCAGUGUUGGAGUGCUGGAGUGGGAGAUGUGAGACUGCAUCAGUUAGAAAUGUCUUAAAACUCCCCUUACCAGGGGCGGGCAAAAUGGUUCCGCAUGUAAAAAUGCUUGCGAUGAAGCCCGGUGACCUCAGUUCUAUCCCUGGAACCUACAUGGUGGAAAGGAAAGAACUGUCACAUUGAAGUUGUUGUUUUCUGACUUCACACACUUACACACACACACACACACACACACACACACACAAAGAGACAGAGAGACAAAGAGAGAGAGACAGAGAGAGAGAAUGGACUACAUGUUAAAAACCCUUUUUGUACACGAAUUGUAAUUCACAAUGUUUUGAUCUUGUGAUGCGCGGAGAUGGCAAAAUCAUCAGUUAGAGACUUUCACUAUUAUUCUUAAACAAAAUCACUUAUGAUUUUUAUAGCUAAUUUAGACCUAACUUGUUUUCCACUUGUGUUCCUGUGAAAGAGUCAAGUUCAGGAGGCUGCAACUGGGUCUAAAGUGGUUUCCAUCUCUCCAGCAAAAUCCGGCAGAAGCUUGACCACACCCUGAAUGACUACAUUCAUUGCGCCUUUCUUACUGCUGCAAAAUUCACCAGUCAGUCACUCUUAUGAAGAGCUCUGGGCAUGUUGACUGAAAGGUCAGGGUGUGUGGAGCGCUGCUUUUAAAAUGCGCAGAGUAUUUUGGAGCUUUGUAGCUCUCAAGUGCCACGUCUGUCUGGAGCUUACUAGGAAGAUGAUAAAAAUAUCCGUGUGCACAGUGGGGGUGCUCUACACAGAUCCUUUUUCUCAGCACACAUUUCUGGAAGUUCUGCUUCCUGCCCUACUCUCUGCCUCGUUUGCUCUUCAGUGGCUUGAGAGAUGAGGCUUACUGGGCUGGGGAGUUGGAUGUUUUCUUCCAGUGCCACCAGACAUCAAACGCGGAGACUAAUGUGCCGGAGUGUGAGGCGAAGUUCAAGAAAUACAUCUGAAGCAGCGCAGGCGAGCGGUAUGGAAAUGCCUGAACUCUUUCUGAGCAGCUUGGUGACUUCCCACUGCCACUAGAUGUCCCUCUGUGGCUUUUCUUUUGGACAUCAGUGCUGCACACAGGGCAAGUUAUUUCUGCUCUGCUGGGUAGCAGAAAGCGCUCUGCAGGCUCCGGGAAGCAGUUUACACUGGGAUGCUAUCCACGCUGUGACCUGCCACCAUCACACAGCCCUCGCGCACGACCGAAAAGAACAAGGCUUUAUGAUGCAGAAAUCGGGACACUCUCUACCGAGACUGGUUGAAGAACCAUACGUUAGGAGGCAGCAAUCCAGGCUGAUUCGGCAUUUUGAAGGAAAAUCAGUGACCUUGAGGAACCAGAGGAGGCUUCAGACAGCUCUGAACACUCAGAUGGAAGGCUGCCCACCAAGCUUUGCAGCCUCUGCUCCGGACCAGGCAUGGUCUUCCUGCUGAGUCACGGCACUACUUCCUUGACAAAGGCUACUUUUAACAGAAAACAAGAAGCAAUCAUGGAAAGUAGCAGCAGAGAAGAAAUGAGAUUUAUUUUUUUAAAUUUCUGGACUUUCUGGCAGAAAGUAAGGGAAUCAUUUAAAUGCCACUCUGAGUGUUUGAAGAGAAAAAGGUGGCACAGGGGUGGUAAAUGCUGAGCAGUGGGAUCCAUUUUAAUAAUUGGCUAUAGUGACACCUAGGUGAUAGACGGUGAGCUGGCUUACCCAGCAACCAGCCCUAAUUGUGAAAUUUGUAGAAGAGGUUUUGUAGCUUCGCAAACGGGAAAGAAAUACUUUCCUCAUGCACGGCAUCAACAGCUUAUGUCCCAACAGUGACUUGCUAAGUCAGCCGUCUGCAGUGCAAGUACACAGUGUCCCCAAACAACAGUGUUGUGAGGGCUGGUUAAGUGUUCUUUGUGUUCCUGAGAAAUUUUCUAAUCCAGACAAUAAGUGAACUGCAUGCUCCGAUACCAUGGGCUAGUGUGAAUCAAGACUGCUAGUCAUUGGUGAAGUGGAUCUCCUCUCAGCCUCCUUGCUCUGUGUAUAAGGGUUCACACAGAGACUCCGAACUGGCCAAGAUGCCAAGAAUAAAACUUACUUAAAUGGAUCAACUAUCCCACACUGUCUUGGGAAGAGGAUUAAGGAUCCCUGCGGAAGAUGGGCAACAGAGCGUAAGAGCCAGAGGUGAUAGGGCACUGCAAGGAAACAGUGUCUUCUGGACACAGCAGACUUCAAUAUCUACGGCACCUGAGAUUCUCAGACGCUCCCUGUUGUGUGGCUUCUCCUGGGGAGAGACGACCAGCUGCCUACUCUCCCUAGACAAGGCUUUGAUGACAGACUGAAGCAAAAGUUUCCCCAGGUCUUCCUCGGUGAGCUAUUGAGCUUAUGGGGGUCACUUGCAGGAGCAUGGACACUUGAGAGGAACCUGCAUCACCGAGAAGCCUGUCUCAGUGCGGAUGCUGGGUCAUGAAAGCGGCAUCCCUCAUCGCGCAUGCUCCACCACAAUCUCGCUCACAGAGGGGCCUCUGGAACCUUGUCAUUUUCUGAGCUUCCUGAGGUGUAUAGUAGGAAGCUCCCUCCCCCCCCCCACCAACUUUUAUUUUCUUCCAGGAAGGAGACAGGAUGAGAUCCCGGCACAGCAUGCACUUUUCACGUAGGAAAGCAUACCAUUGUCCAAAGGCUUAAAGCUCCAGUCAGAGGCGGGGUGUGAGAAGGAUACUAGCAGGGAGGUGGAGAGAACCACAGAUUUCAUCUGAAGCUUGGCUGAGUGAUCUACUGACUCUUGUGUUAGAGGAAACCAGACAAAAGUAUUAAAGUAAUUCUUAACACGA